AUUGAACGCUGGCGGCAGGCUUAACACAUGCAAGUCGAGCGGAGAGAGGUAGCUUGCUACUGAUCUUAGCGGCGGACGGGUGAGUAAUGCUUAGGAAUCUGCCUAUUAGUGGGGGACAACAUUUCGAAAGGAAUGCUAAUACCGCAUACGUCCUACGGGAGAAAGCAGGGGAUCUUCGGACCUUGCGCUAAUAGAUGAGCCUAAUUCGAAUUAGCUAGUUGGUGGGGUAAAGGCCUACCAAGGCGACGAUCUGUAGCGGGACUGAGAGGAUGAUCGGCCACACUGGAACUGAGACACGGCGCAGACUCCUACGGGAGGCAGCGGUAGGGAAUAUUGGACAAUGGGCGGAAGCCUGAUCCAGCCAUGCCGCGUGUGUGAAGAAGGCCUUAUGGUUGUAAAGCACUUUAAGCGAGGAGGAGGCUACUUUAGUUAAUACCUAGAGAUAGUGGACGUUACUCGCAGAAUAAGCACCGGCUAACUCUGUGCCAGCAGCCGCAGUAAAAC
rnacentral:rRNA from 1 species